rnacentral:lncRNA from 1 species
CUUACUAAGUAGUAACUUUAGUAAGAUUUUCUUUUCUCUAUUUCUUGAACUGCAUUGUACCUUAAAGGCUUGUAAGUAAGCAUUUCCCGGUAAGAUCUACACCUGUUGUAUUCAGCGCAUGUGACAAAUACAAUUUGAUUUGAUUUGUUGUCCAUGCACCACACUGCCAGGUGUCUGACUUCCUCCCUAUAGGAUGCCUCAUCAUCAUCGGUGAUCAGUCCUAACACCAUUGUGUCAUCAGAAAACUUUAUGAUGGUGUUGGAGUUGUGCCUAGCCACACAGUCAUGGGUGAACAGGGAGUACAGGAGGGGACUAUGCACACACCCCAGGUUACCUUGGUGUUUUUGGGCACUUGGACUAUGGUGGUCUGCUUGAAGCAAGUUGGUAUUACAGACCAGGUCAGGGAUAGGUUGAAAAUGUCAGUGAAGACACUUGAUAGCUGUUUACCGCAUGCUCUGAGUACGCAUCCUGGUAUUCUGUCUGGGAAUGUUAACCUAUUUAAAGCCCUUACGCACAUCGGCUACGGAGAGCGAGAUGACACAUUCAUCCGGAACAGCUGGUGCUCUCAUGCAUGGUUCAGUGUUGAUUGCCUGUCUACCUGUUUCCUGUUUCCGGUCACAACUUGCAGACUUGUUUACGCUGCUGUGCGUUUUGUUGCCGAUCUUACUUUGCUACCUGACGGUUUUUUACUUUUUCAUUACCGUAUAUUUUUACUUUUUCCCUCACUCAACUUUUCACCCCGGAGGUUUUAUCUGGACAUGGUUCGUCAGGACUUCAAACAGCCGAAGCUAAGUAACAUUAACAUGAUGCCUUCUAAUUGCAGUCGUUGUACCUAUAAUAUACAGGAGAACGAUCGCCUUACGGCAAGGAUAGCUGUGCUGCAAGCCCAGCUUCAGACGCGAUCGUUAGGCGAGGGUAAUUUCAGUGUAGGAAAGGAUGAAACAGCGUCUGUGCCACCAGACCUGAGCCCUAGGACCAUGCCUCAGGACCACCUGGUAUGAUGACUCCUUGCUGUCCCCAGUCCACCUGGCCGUGCUGCUGCUCCAGUUUCAACUGUUCUGCCUGCGGCUAUGGAACCCUGACCUGUUCACCGGACGUGCUUGUUGCACCCUCGACAACUACUAUGAUUAUUAUUAUUUGACCAUGCUGGUCAUUUAUGAACAUUUUAACAUCUUGACUAUGUUCUGUUAUAAUAUCCACCCUG